rnacentral:lncRNA from 1 species
AUAAGCUAAUGUAUCUACAUUGUCUCCUGCAGGUUCCCUCUCUUGGUGUGGUGAUGUAUUAUGCAGUGGUAGUCGUGACAACAUGAUAUUACAGUGGGACCCACAUCUACCUGCCUUCCCCACUAGGAGACUGUUAGGCCACACCCAGGAGGUGUGUGGACUUGCUGGUCCCCUAAUCACCAACACCUGGCCUCAGGAGGAAACGAUAUAAAUUAUUCAUAUGGGAUGAUUCAUCGACCACACCCAUUCACUGUCUCUCGGAUCAUAAAGCAGCUAUAAAAGCUCUUGCAUGGUCACUGCAUCAACAUGAACUAUUAGCCUCAGGUGGUGGUACAGCUGAUAGGACCAUCAGGUUCUGGAAUGUACUGACUGGCAUGUUGAAUAAACCACUUCACCUUCAUAGUUCACACUGACUAACUUGUAUUUUAAACCGGUUUGACGAGUUACUAGCAGCUCAGCAUAAACUGAGUUUGGAGGUAUCUUUGACAGAUUACUGGUAGGAGUCGUAUUGGUCUUCAAUUUGUUUAAAGGUGACUGGCUCACAACUGGAGAUGAAUUCACUGGAGGAGCUUUUCGUUUCUUUGAGUAUUCCUUCUCAACCCUUUUUAAUAUGUCUGGUGGGCAUAUCAAGUUCUCCUGGGUUCCCCUAACCCACAGGUAGUUUAAGAGCACGGGCAGUUCUUCCAGGGUAUAUCAAGGUUUUCUGGGCAUAUCAAGUUCUCGUGGGGUUCCCCUAACCCACAGGUACAUGUAUUUUAGGAGGUUGGGAAGCUCCUCCACUUCUAAUAUUUCUAAUAUUUCUUCAGCUUCUGGACCUGGUUCUUCAAUCUGUACGGUUGCAUCUAAUUCUUCGUCCUCCCCAUUAUUGGAAGAGAGGGAAUGAAUGGAGCCGAGAGUACCUGAAUCAUCAUGCUCCGUAUUAGCAGUCGUAUGAGUCUUUGAUGUCUUUAAAGGUGGCUCUGGAGGUGCUUUUCUUUUUAAAAGUAUUCCUUUUCGACAUUAUCUAAUGUUUCUUACGGGCAUAUUACGUUUUCCUCAGGCUCCCAAGUAUUGUAGCUUCUCUCUGGCUUUCAACUUUCUUGUAUGAUGUUUUCAGGACCUCGGCAUUUCCUAGUCUUACAGAGGUCCUUUGAGUCAGAGAGGUUGGUGUCUGCUAGCUGCAGGUUAGUGUCAAGACCAACGCCCACGUGAGCAUGUAAUCACCAUGUAGUACCACCUGUAGAGGCUGGGCAUAGUGGGCAGUAUGUCUCAUACAUACAGAUAUUUUUUAUGCAUACAGAUAUACAUACAGCUAAAUUUGGAAUUUUUACAAAUUUUUUUAAGUUGCUUAAAUUUAAUUCACUUAAAUUCACUGAGUUUUCAACCUAUCAAUCACAGAAUGUGUCAGUAGCUGAACCAGUUCUUUCAUCUCCCUCUCAUACUAUUGGAGGAGGAGGGAUAGUGUCACCAUCUCCUAUACCAGUCCAAUGAGUAGCACAUCAAAUAAUAAGUCUCCUGGUUUGUCUGAGAUUUGGUGUCAGUGUCUACAAAAGUGUCUGGACCUUGCAAUCGUUUAAUGUCCAGCAAUGAUGAGGAGACACUUGACAUAAUGAUUAAUGAGAGAGAAGGAGAAAUGAAGAUUAAAGAAGAAAGAAGUGGAACAAAAUACGUGGACUCUUUGAUCAAGAAAAAUUGAUAAAGUAAACAUGUAAAUAAAUAAUACACAUAUCUUUAUCUCUCUCACUCUCUCUCAGAUUAUUUAUUUACUCUUGCUCCAACAUUUCCUAAAUUUUGAAUAGUUUUGAAAUGAGAAGUAAAGUCCUUAAGACAGUCUGAUUCUGAAGAGAAAAAACAAUACCAAUAUUAUUAAACUUUCUCAUAAAUUAUGCCACAUAAUUUUGGUGAUUAGCUGGUUUAAUUAUUUUUGAUUAUUGAUUUUGGUUUAAUUAUUUGGCGAAUGGUUAUCAAAAUGCUAAAAUUACUAAA